rnacentral:rRNA from 1 species
GGUUAAGCGACUAAGCGUACACGGUGGAUGCCUAGGCAGUCAGAGGCGAUGAAGGGCGUGCUAAUCUGCGAAAAGCGUCGGCAAGGUGAUAUGAACCGUUAUACCCGACGAUACCCGAAUGGGGAAACCCAGUGUGACUCGUCACACUAUCAUUAACUGAAUCCAUAGGUUAAUGAGGCGAACCGGGGGAACUGAAACAUCUCAGUACCCCGAGGAAAAGAAAUCAACCGAGAUUCCCCCAGUAGCGGCGAGCGAACGGGGAGGAGCCCAGAACCUGAAUCGGCUUGUGUGUCAGUGGAAGCGUCUGGAAAGGCGCACGAUACAGGGUGACAGUCCCGUACACGAAGAUGCACAGGUCGUGAGUUCGAUGAGUAGGGCGGGACACGUGGUAUCCUGUCUGAACAUGGGGGGACCAUCCUCCAAGGCUAAAUACUCCUGACUGACCGAUAGUGAACCAGUACCGUGAGGGAAAGGCGAAAAGAACCCCGGCGAGGGGAGUGAAAUAGAACCUGAAACCGUGUACGUACAAGCAGUGGGAGCACCUUUUAGGUGUGACUGCGUACCUUUUGUAUAAUGGGUCAGCGACUUAUAUUCUGUAGCAAGGUUAACCGAAUAGGGGAGCCGCAGGGAAACCGAGUCUUAACUGGGCGUCUAGUUGCAGGGUAUAGACCCGAAACCCGGUGAUCUAGCCAUGGGCAGGUUGAAGGUUGGGUAACACUAACUGGAGGACCGAACCGACUAAUGUUGAAAAAUUAGCGGAUGACUUGUGGCUGGGGGUGAAAGGCCAAUCAAACCGGGAGAUAGCUGGUUCUCCCCGAAAGCUAUUUAGGUAGCGCCUCGUGAACUCAUCUUCGGGGGUAGAGCACUGUUUCGGCUAGGGGGCCAUCCCGGCUUACCAACCCGAUGCAAACUGCGAAUACCGAAGAAUGUUAUCACGGGAGACACACGGCGGGUGCUAACGUCCGUCGUGAAGAGGGAAACAACCCAGACCGCCAGCUAAGGUCCCAAAGUCAUGGUUAAGUGGGAAACGAUGUGGGAAGGCCCAGACAGCCAGGAUGUUGGCUUAGAAGCAGCCAUCAUUUAAAGAAAGCGUAAUAGCUCACUGGUCGAGUCGGCCUGCGCGGAAGAUGUAACGGGGCUAAAACCAUGCACCGAAGCUGCGGCAGCGACACUUAGGUGUUGUUGGGUAGGGGAGCGUUCUGUAAGCCUGUGAAGGUGGCCUGUGAGGGCUGCUGGAGGUAUCAGAAGUGCGAAUGCUGACAUAAGUAACGAUAAUGCGGGUGAAAAACCCGCACGCCGGAAGACCAAGGGUUCCUGUCCAACGUUAAUCGGGGCAGGGUGAGUCGACCCCUAAGGCGAGGCUGAAAAGCGUAGUCGAUGGGAAACAGGUUAAUAUUCCUGUACUUGGUGUUACUGCGAAGGGGGGACGGAGAAGGCUAUGUCAUCCGGGCGACGGUUGUCCCGGUUUAAGCGUGCAGGUGGGUGGACCAGGUAAAUCCGGUCUGCUGUUAACACUGAGGCGUGAUGACGAGGCACUACGGUGCUGAAGUGACAGAUGCCCGGCUUCCAGGAAAAGCCUCUAAGCAUCAGGUAACAUUGAAUCGUACCCCAAACCGACACAGGUGGUCAGGUAGAGAAUACUCAGGCGCUUGAGAGAACUCGGGUGAAGGAACUAGGCAAAAUGGUGCCGUAACUUCGGGAGAAGGCACGCUCCUGUUGGUGAAGUCCCUUGCGGAUGGAGCUGAGGGGAGUCGCAGAUACCAGCUGGCUGCAACUGUUUAAUAAAAACACAGCACUGUGCAAACACGAAAGUGGACGUAUACGGUGUGACGCCUGCCCGGUGCCGGAAGGUUAAUUGAUGGGGUUAUCCGUAAGGAGAAGCUCUUGAUCGAAGCCCCGGUAAACGGCGGCCGUAACUAUAACGGUCCUAAGGUAGCGAAAUUCCUUGUCGGGUAAGUUCCGACCUGCACGAAUGGCGUAAUGAUGGCCAGGCUGUCUCCACCCGAGACUCAGUGAAAUUGAACUCGCUGUGAAGAUGCAGUGUACCCGCGGCAAGACGGAAAGACCCCGUGAACCUUUACUAUAGCUUGACACUGAACCUUGAGCCUUGAUGUGUAGGAUAGGUGGGAGGCUUUGAAGUGUGGACGCCAGUCUGCAUGGAGCCAACCUUGAAAUACCACCCUUUAAUGUUUGAUGUUCUAACCUGGGCCCGUAAUCCGGGCUGGGGACAGUGUCUGGUGGGUAGUUUGACUGGGGCGGUCUCCUCCCAAAGAGUAACGGAGGAGCACGAAGGUUAGCUAAUCCUGGUCGGACAUCAGGAGGUUAGUGCAAAGGCAUAAGCUAGCUUGACUGCGAGAGUGACGGCUCGAGCAGGUGCGAAAGCAGGUCUUAGUGAUCCGGUGGUUCUGAAUGGAAGGGCCAUCGCUCAACGGAUAAAAGGUACUCCGGGGAUAACAGGCUGAUACCGCCCAAGAGUUCAUAUCGACGGCGGUGUUUGGCACCUCGAUGUCGGCUCAUCACAUCCUGGGGCUGAAGUAGGUCCCAAGGGUAUGGCUGUUCGCCAUUUAAAGUGGUACGCGAGCUGGGUUUAGAACGUCGUGAGACAGUUCGGUCCCUAUCUGCCGUGGGCGUUGGAAGAUUGAGGGGGGUUGCUCCUAGUACGAGAGGACCGGAGUGAACGCACCGCUGGUGUUCGGGUUGUCAUGCCAAUGGCACUGCCCGGUAGCUACGUGCGGAAGAGAUAACCGCUGAAAGCAUCUAAGCGGGAAACUUGCCCCGAGAUGAGUCUUCCCUGGGAACUAGAUUCCCCUGAAGGGACGUUCGAGACGAGGACGUUGAUAGGCUGGGUGUGUAAGCGUAGCGAUACGUUGAGCUAACCAGUACUAAUGACCCGAGAGGCUUAACCUU